AAAAUACUCCCUCCGUCCGGAAAUACUUGUCAUCAAAAUGGAUAAAAGGAAAUGUAUCUAGACGUAUUUUAGUUUUAGAUACAUCUCUUUUUAUCCAUUUUGAUGACAAGUAUUUUCGGACGGAGGGAGUAGAAA
rfam:Triticum aestivum genome assembly, contig: Triticum_aestivum_CS42_TGACv1_scaffold_562075_7AL